AGAAGGUGGGCUUAGUCAGGGUGACUCUCCGGAAGGUAUGCCCCGGGGAAGCAGGGAUCCCCUGCCGGAGCUGCUGGUGCUUGCUGCCAGCGUCAAAAUCCGAACACAUCGAAAUAUCAGGCCGAUAAUUAUGACGACACCAAGGAUACAGAGGAGAAACUUUCCCACACUUGCAAUCAAACCUUGUGCCCACUCUCCUAACCCAGAGAACCAUUUGAGUGGGUUCAACCAUGAGGCCCAUCCGGUCAAUUCAUUACCCACAGCCGCUAAAGUGAGAUUAUGUUUCAUUCUGAACUCCCACUUCAACUGCAAGAUCUCGUCCAUCUUUUGAUCAAUGAUCUCCAUUGGGUCCUCGGUACUGUUCGUAAUAUACGUGCAGCACUUCACACCAUAUUGAGUCACUAAAGUAACACAAUAUCCACCUGUCAUGGCCAUGACAUAAUUCAAGACCAUCCUAUGUUGGACCAGUUCCGUCUAGUAGGCCUGUAGUUCUCUACCUGUAUACCUGAAGGUGCCAUCGUACAUCUCAGUGAUAUUAUCUAUCAAGUUCGCUUGCGCAUGGAUGUGCCUAUAAUUUAUAAUUCCUCUGGCAGUACGGGUGAUAUCUAAUGCAAGAAGAAUCUGAAUCCCGGUAGAUUUAUGGAUCAAAUUAAAGGCUGCGAGCUCUCCCCUGUC